UACGUAGGUGGCAAGCGUUGUCCGGAUUUAGCUAGGGCGUAAAGAGCGCGGCAGGCGGUCAGAUAAGUCGAAUGUCGAAAGCCCCCGGCUCAACUGGGGAGGGUCAUUCGAUACUGUUCGACUCGAAGGAGCAGGAGAGGGAAGUGGAAUUCCCGGUGUAGUGGUAGAAAUGCGUAGAUAUCGGGAAGGAACACCCAGUGGCGAAGGCGAACCUUCCGUGGCCUGUUCUUGACGCUGAGGCGCGAAAGCUAGGGGAGCAACGGG
rnacentral:rRNA from 1 species